rnacentral:rRNA from 1 species
GACGAACCGUGCAAACGUUAUUCGGAAUCACUGGGCCUAAAGGGCGCGUAGGCGGCUCCAUAAGUCAGGGGUGAAAUCCGGCAGCUUAACUGUCGCAGUGCCUUUGAUACUGUGGAGCUAGAGGGAGGUAGGGGUCUGUGGAACUUCCGGUGGAGCGGUGAAAUGCGUUGAUAUCGGAAGGAACGCCGGUGGCGAAAGCGACGGACUGGAUCUCUUCUGACGCUGAGGCGCGAAAGCCAGGGGAGCAAACGAG